GAACCUUUUCACCUUUGUCUUCUGUGUUUGAAACACAGCACCUGUGAUAAAUAGAGAUCUGAAGCCUGGCUGACAAAAGAUGAAAACAGUUACAGAUAGGAGGAUCCCACCUGUGCCAAAAGGAGACCAGCACUCACAAAGGAGUUUGCAAUCACCAUCACCUUUUACCCUGGAGUUGGU